rnacentral:lncRNA from 1 species
UUUGAAUUUUUAAUAUUUUAUUGUUGUGAUUAACCUGUACAAUGAAUGUGUUAAAAUGAUGAGCACUGUCAGUAGAAGGAUGAACAGAGAAUUGUAGCACCAAGGUCAAAUAAGGUCAUGACAUUAUGAAAUACUACCAAUAACAAACUGCUUACAUAUUUUAUUUUUCAGAUCAUUUCAUGAGCAAUUUUUUACCUUCUGAAAAUAUUUUGUUCUGCAGGGUUGACCAGGUAAUCAACUCCUGUAGAUUUGUUGUAAGAAAAUUUAGACAGUAUUAUUUGGAUGUUACACAUCAGAAAUGUUUUUUGUUCAUAAUUGAAAAAAUGUUUUUAACCAAUGUUAGCAAGAAAAAAAAGUAUGUUUUCACAUGAGCAUAACUAUAAAAAUUAAAUGUUCAAAUUUCAUCACCCCCAUUUUUUAUAUUUUUCAAAGGGCUGAUAGUAAAUAUAAAUACAUUUUUAGUAAUAAACUUAGUAUGGAGUUCAAUGUGCGUUUCAUAUAAAUAUUACACAUUAAUUACAACAGUCAAUGAUAAAAGUCAGUCACAUGACACCUGAGUAAACCAGUAGAAAACAACUAUCUGUUAUAAAUCAUCAAAUUUGUGACACAUAAAAAUUUAAUGAAAACACUUUAUUUACCAUAUAAAAAAGGAAAUAACAAAUAUGUUUAACUCUGGGAUAAUUUCUUAUGCCAAAGUAUAAAUAUGAGGGCAAAAGAGAAACACACUGUUGUUAGCAAAAGCUACAACAAUAAAGAAAGAAAUAUUUAAUUUGCCAUUUUAUUUUUUAAAAUCCCAACCUUUUCAAAUUUAACAAGAAAGCAUACAAAAAAUAUACUUUCUUCUUUAAUUGAAAAUGCUGAUCAUGUAAAAUAACUUUUUCUAACAAUAAUUUCUUGGUCAAAAAAAUCUUUAUAUGCAUAAAAACUUUAUAUGGAUUUCAGGUAACCCUUGUUCAAGAAGCUUCACAUUGUACAAAACUUUGUCGUCACUUUGAAACUUCUAGUAAUUUCUACUGGUAAAAGUCCAAUACUGACAACAUUUGUGAUUUAACAGAACAGUGAGAGAACAAUAUACUCUUAUUAGUGAACUUUAAAAACAAUAAUUUUACUUUAAAAAAAAACGCUACAUAUAAAAUAUCCCAUUUUAAAAACAAAUGACCAAAAAACAUUAAGUUUAUUUUUAUUUAUUUAUUCAAGAAUAAUGAAAAAUAAAACUACUUCAAUUAAAUGCAUAGUAAAAUGACUAAAAUAAUAAAAUUCAUAUAAAAUUGAUUAAUAUAGAAAACUUUUUUAAUACAACAGUUUCUACUGAAAGGAUAAGAAUCUAAUUGAAACCUUGGUACAUGUAUUUGCUAACUGUUUCUUUAAUAAAAUUGGUAAAUUAAGAGUAUUAAUAUCAAGGAUAAAAAACAAUAAAAGCUGAAUGCUAGCACUAACACAUUCAUAAACAACCAGUUAAUCUUGAAACAACAUCAUCUGUACAUAUAAAGGCACAAACAGGGAUCACAGCUGACACAGAAAACAAAUCACAAAGGGGAGAUAACAUUUCUAGUUUUUAAAAGUUCUUUUUGUAGACUAACUUUUUACAACAAUAUAGCUAAUGAAUAAUGACUGAUUAAUACCUAUAUGAAAUGAAUUUAUUAUUUAAUGUUUGACUUAAUUAUGGCAAAAAAUUGUGAUCCUCUUUGAACAGUCGCUUUUUUCAUUUUUCCAAGUUUGGCUAUGUUCAGCAUCAAAUAUUAAUUCUUUUGAUAAUCAUAUACUCAAAAUUAAGCACUAAAAGAUAAGACUUAAAUUGACCGAUUGUAUUACUAAUGGAUUGUAAUUUGUCCUGCCAUAUGAAUGAUUAGGACACUUCUAAACACACUACAUUCACCAAACUAUAGGUCAAUUUGGUCAAUGUGCAAUCUGGUCAAAAAUGAAAUACGAAAUGAACAAAAGAAUAAAUGGAACUGUCUUGGCACAAUCUGUCAAGUGCAUAGAGAACGUUCUAAGCUAAUAAGAGAAUCUAAUAUCUUGUGUUUGAUAGAAAGACAUACCUAAUCAAGUAGAUAAUACUUUUAUGCUUUAUCUAUACAAUGUAAUCAUUACUUAACAGAGUUUUACAAAUUAGGUGUGAGGUACUGACUUAAGGAAAUAUAAUUUUCAUGAAACAUUAAAAUAAGAAAAGAUAUUUCUUUGAUUUCUUUUUCAAGCUGUGAUAAUUUGUUACAAGAGUUUCUACUGAAAGGAUAAGAAUGUAACUUGAAAAUAAUGUUACUUAUGGUUGCUUAAUAUCUGGGCUACAGAAGUUAAACACUGCAAAUGAAUGUAUUUAUGCAUUAACAAAGUGUAUUUAUUUAAAAAAAUGAUCAAAUUUUUAAGAUAUUCUAAAUUAAAGGAUUAGCUGAGACAUUAGAAAGUCAACACAGUGACAAUAGAAAUUAUCUUGAAAACUGUUCAUGAGGACUUCCUUGACCAUUCAAACACUAUUUAUCUAAUAAAAUAAAAUAGAAUAAUGGAAAAGCUCUUUAAUUGAGCAAUGAAUAACAACAAAGAAAAGUGUCAUGAGUUUGGUCUAGAAAAACACACAAUAGAAAAUCAUUUACAUAUUUUAAAAAAUCUGACCAUUAUAUGAAAAGAAAAUAAUGUUACUUCUAUUUACACCAUGAUAUGUUAAACUUGUUUGUGUCAAUAUAAAUAUGUCCAUACUUUAUACAAAUCUAUACAAACAUCACCUUGUAAUCAUACACAUAUACACACUUAUACUCUCCACACAUACACACCUGUACACAUUAAAACAUAGCCUUUAAAGGCUAUUCAUCAUGCAGACCAUCUCUCUCUAUAAUGAGACCAACUAUUCAUAAAUAUCCUACUCUUAUUUACUAUCAAUGUUUUAAAUAUAUUUCACAACAGAUACAACCAGGUGCUCCGCAGGGCGCAGCUUUAUACGACCGCAGAGGUCGAACCCUGAACAGUUGGGGCAAGUAUGGACAAAACAUUCUAGCGUGAUACAGCUCUGAAUUUGGAUUGUGAUCAAAUUUUUGACAUUACAUGGUGUUUUUUUUUACACAAAACAAAUGUCA